rnacentral:RNase_P_RNA from 1 species
UUGUAAGGAACGGUGACCGCUCAUAACCUUGUUGAUGAUAACUUGGUUGUGGGAGGCAAAGUCCGGGCUCCUCCGGAAAAGAUGCCGGGUAAUAACCGGGCAGUACGGGUAGGUGCAUGACGCUGAGCAAUCAGUUUUAUACAUACCCCUGAACUGACAGAUAGUGCUACAGAAAAUAACCGCCAAUUACAAGGAUUGGUAAGGGUGAAAAGGUGGGGUAAGAGCCCACCG